AGGACGAACGCUGGCGGCGUGCUUAACACAUGCAAGUCGAGCGGUAAGGCCCUUUCGGGGGUACACGAGCGGCGAACGGGUGAGUAACACGUGAACAAUCUGCCCUUCACUUCGGGAUAAGCCUCGGAAACGGGGUCUAAUACCGGAUAUGACUGCGCCAUGCAUGUGGUGUGGUGGAAAGUUCUGGCGGUGAGGGAUGAGCUCGCGGCCUAUCAGCUUGUUGGUGGGUAAUGGCCUACCAA
rnacentral:rRNA from 1 species